rnacentral:lncRNA from 1 species
CUUGUUUCUAUUUCCCUCACUAACAUCCCGAUCUGCAGCCCUAAAUAAUCUCUCUCACCCAACGCUCUGUCUCUAUCACGCCCAAAUUCUCUCUGUCUCUCUUCUCGCCCAAGCUCGCCCAUGCCAAGCGCUCUCGCUCUCUAUCUCUUUCACGCCCAAACUCUCUCUCUGUCUCUCUUCUCACCCAAGCUCGCCCAUGCCAAGCGCUCUCUCUGUCUCUAUCUCUCUUGCCCAAGCUCCGCAGCGCCUUGAACAAGACAUAGUCGAGGUCCGAAAGAAUCGUCAGAGAGAAUAAGCUUUUGGGAAGAGAGUGGCGCCAGAUUCUUGAUGUUGGUUUAUAGUGGUUCCCUUUCCUUCGUCACGAACCAUGACUCAAUAUUUGAGGUCGAGGCCUCAAGCUUCCAGCAAGUGAUGAUGUUUCUACUUCCAUGGCCAUCUAGCUGAGUGUUUUCAGGUUUUCUAAGCAUCUUUUUGUGAAAGAUUCUUGAUUCUCUUGAAUUGAUUCAUGUGUCCAGGGUAUAUAUACUUACCCUCAUUGUCAAUGGAAUGGGAGAUAACUAACUUGGUCUGAGAGAUUUAGACUUUUGAUACUUAUCUUUAAGUGUCUAUGGCUCUAUGGCAUCAAGCUUUCUAGGAUAAGAUCUAGAAAACACCCUUCCAUAACAUCCUCUUUCAUUAGCUCGUUGAACUUUAGCACCUUUAGGUUGUUGGUCAUCCGUUUUACCAUGGUAGAUUAUAACUGCAAACUUCUGUGUUUUGGAUAAAAACCUGUAUGUUCUACUCUGUAAUUGCCUGUGCUUAUGGCUAGGGGGUAAAUCAAACAAGUUUAUCUUUAGUUAUAGUUUGAAUGUCAUGAACAUGACACAUAAUGCAGACAAUCUUAAUUUCUGUAAUUGUUUUCUUGUCUAUGACAUGCAAACUAUAUAGGUAAUAUAUGACUAAAGCUUUGACAAUCAUAAGUAUUAUGAUUGUGGUCGCCAUUUUUUUUUUGUUUUUAUGGUGAUGUGCGUAAAAAAAAAAAAAAAGGCUAGCUUGGCUUAAAAUCAUAUAGCAUAUUGUUAAGGUCACUCUAUAACUAUCGUUGUUGUUUGAUCGGUGGGUUUCACAAAUUCAAUGCUAACUCAGGAAUUGUUCUCUGUUGUUAACAGUUAAAAGGGUCUCUUAGAGUCCGGUUAUAGGAUGACAUCUUCUGUUAACAAUAGUAAUUGACAAUGUAUGUGCAGAGCUUGCAUGGAAAGGCAGCUUCAUAAUAAAUAUAUUUUGUGCACAAACAGUAAAGGGUAGAAGAAACUGUUUCAUGUAUUUUUCCCUUCUUAAAGGUAAAGUUGGUCUAUAUGAAUGUAUGAAAUUUUGAAUGAAAUGUCGCCAGAUUGAACUUCAAAUUCUCUCAUAAAUGACAGGAUAAAGUGUUGUCAACCGUUGAUACCUUUAUUUUCUAUAUAUAAUCUAAUAUUACCCUAUUAAACCUUCUGUCUAUCUGUACACAGGUAACGAGUGUUGGAAUCAAUACUGAAUGGGGAUUGUUGAUGGCAAGUAUAUCUCUGAGGAUACCUAUAAAGAAACUCUUCUACAGAUUUAUGUUCUUUCCAAUUUCUGACCUGAAACUGUUGAGGAUGCUAGCUAAUGAAGGUCCUGCAGUGUUGUGUUCCUUGCAAUCUUUGACCUGAAACUGUUGAGGAAGCUAGCAAAUGAAGG